GACGAACGCUGGCGGCGUGCCUAAUACAUGCAAGUUGAGCGCUGAAGGUUGGUACUUGUACCAACUGGAUGAGCAGCGAACGGGUGAGUAACGCGUGGGGAAUCUGCCUUUGAGCGGGGGACAACAUUUGGAAACGAAUGCUAAUACCGCAUAAAAACUUUAAACACAAGUUUUAAGUUUGAAAGAUGCAAUUGCAUCACUCAAAGAUGAUCCCGCGUUGUAUUAGCUAGUUGGUGAGGUAAAGGCUCACCAAGGCGAUGAUACAUAGCCGACCUGAGAGGGUGAUCGGCCACAUUGGGACUGAGACACGGCCCAAACUCCUACGGGAGGCAGCAGUAGGGAAUCUUCGGCAAUGGACGAAAGUCUGACCGAGCAACGCCGCGUGAGUGAAGAAGGUUGUCGGAUCGUAAGACUCGGUUGGUAGAGAAGAACGUUGGUGAGAGUGGAAAGCUCAUCAAGUGACGGUAACUACCCAGAAAGGGACGGCUAACUACGUG
rnacentral:rRNA from 1 species